UCCCUGGUGGUCCAGUGGUUAAGACACCACACUUCCAAUGUAGGGGACCCAGGGACCUGGGUUGGAUCCCUGGUUGGGGAA
rfam:Ovis aries breed Texel chromosome 3, whole genome shotgun sequence.